AUCCAGUUGUAGACUCAAAAUACCCAUAACAAGGAAGGGUCAUUCUGUUAUAUAUUGUUUCACUUUGUGUGUACUUUAACUUUCUUUGGUAUUCUUGUAUUGAGUGUGUAUGUAAUUGCAAGGUGUGUAUAUGUGUGAAAUGUCAGUACAGGUAUAUAUGUGAUUGUAGGUAUUCAUAUGUCUGAAAAAUAGUUAUACACAUCACUGAGUGCCAAUAGUGGGCUCAGUAAAUUUUACCCCAUUGGAUCAAGACACAAAGUAUAUCCACAGGUGGAUAUUGUACCACCCAAGCG